CUGAACUUUGCAUGGUGUAAAGAGGUAAAAAUCACCACAGAAGGCUGUUGAGUUCAGUGCCUAUGAUGAGAAUAUUAGCAUAGGAUUGAUUGGAAGGAGGGGAGAUCUCCUCUAGUAGCCUCCGACUCAUUGCAGAUUAGACUGUGACACCAAUUGGACACUGUGGCAUCCCUUGCAGUAAGAGGAAGGGGAAUAAAAAGAACAGCUGGAAAGG